rnacentral:rRNA from 1 species
UACGUAGGUGGCAAGCGUUGUCCGGAAUUAUUGGGCGUAAAGCGCGUGUAGGCGGCCCGGUAAGUCCGCUGUGAAAGUCCAGGGCUCAACCCUGGGAUGCCGGUGGAUACUGUCGGGCUCGAGUCCGGAAGAGGCGAGUGGAAUUCCUGGUGUAGCGGUGAAAUGCGCAGAUAUCAGGAGGAACACCAAUGGCGAAGGCAGCUCGCUGGGACGUGACUGACGCUGAGACGCGAAAGCGUGGGGAGCAAACAGG